GGUUCUGUGGCGCAAUGGAUAACGCGUCUGCCUACGGAGCAGAAGAUUGUAGGUUCGAAUCCUGCCAGAAUCG
rnacentral:tRNA from 1 species